UUCAAAAGGCCUUCAUUAUUUAACCACUGCUGUCAUUUACUUUAUUUUAAGGGUGACUGAGACAUACUUCUUUCCAUCCCUGAUGAGAUUUUUGACUUUAUUAAUCACAUGGGGGAGAAAGGGAGUUAUUUGCUCCAGCAGACUUCGGAGAGUUACUACUUCAACAGUAUGAUAAACAGGCCUCUGAAUCUCCUCAUGUAGAGAUCUUUAAAAACAGAAGACAUUCAUCUGCCCAGGAUGAUUUGGAUGUGGUUCCCUCAGGGGCUGGAGAAUGGCUUCGAUGACCUAUGAUCGAUGAACCACAGUUCCUUAAAACUCUAGGAAAGAACUACUAAUAUUGGUAUAAAACAAUCCAGAAAUUGCUUGGGGUAUUUUGCUGUUAUCCAUUCUUCUUAAGCAUCAGUUCAGUCAAAUUGUGGCGCAACAAGUGUUUUGAUGCUGGGUGACUGAUUGUGCUUCAGGACAACAUUGCUUGUGAUCUUUAACUAUCUUUUGUGGUGGAGAAAUGCAUGCAGAUGAUACUAAGACUAUUCAGCCUCUUACUGGAGAUGUUAAUAAGAUGUUAACAUAUUGUGAAAGAGACAAAAAGUAAGCACAACUGGACACUCGGCUCCGGAAACACUGAGUCAACUAUUUUGGUGCCCAUCCUGGAACUUCAGAAGUUAACCACCUUGUAUGCUAAUUUAUAACCCUUACUCCUACCGAAGCACUAGCACAUACAGAACUUCUGAAUCGCAUCUUCCAUCUUUCUCUCCCACUUACACUCAUCUGAUACUGGUCUUCCCUCGGACUGGGCAGGUGAGCUGCAGUCAACCUGCCGUGAAAGGAAGCUUUUAAUUUUCUGCUGUUUAUUAAUUCGCCAGCAUCCAUAAGGAUUUCAGAAAUUUCCAAAAGAACUCGGUGUUCAUGAAAUGUCAUUCAUGGUUUUUUAAGCCCUUUGAA